rnacentral:rRNA from 1 species
CAAGGCAGACGGCUCAGUAACGCGUAGUCAACCUAACCUAUGGACGGGAAUAACCUCGGGAAACUGAGUAUAAUGCCCGAUAGAACAUUAUACCUGGAAUGGUUUAUGUUCCAAAUGAUUUAUCGCCGUAGGAUGGGACUGCGGCCUAUCAGUUUGUUGGUGAGGUAAUGGCCCACCAAGACUAUUACAGGUACGGGCUCUGAGAGGAGUGGCCCGGAGAUGGGUACUGAGACACGGACCCAGGCCCUAUGGGGCGCAGCGGGCGAGAAAACUUUGCAAUGUGCGAAAGCACGACAAGGUUAAUCCGAGUGGUUUCUGCUAAAGGAACCUUUUGUCGGUCCUAGAAACACCGAUGAAUAAGGGGUGGGCAAGUUCUGGUGUCAGCCGCCGCGGUAAAACCAGCACCUCAAGUGGUCAGGAUGAUUAUUGGGCCUAAAGCAUCCGUAGCCGGCUUUGUUAGUUUUCGGUUAAAUCUGUACGCUUAACGUACAGGCUGCCGGGAAUACUGCAGAGCUAGGGAGUGGGAGAGGUAGACGGUACUCGGUAGGAAGGGGUAAAAUCCUUUGAUCUAUUGAUGACCACCUGUGGCGAAGGCGGUCUACCAGAACACGUCCGACGGUGAGGGAUGAAAGCUGGGGGAGCAAACCGGAUUAGAUACUCGGAUAGUCCCAGCUGUAAACUAUGCAAACUCAGUGAUGCAUUGGCUUGUGGCCAAUGCAGUGCUGCAGGGAAGCCGUUAAGUUUGCCGCCUGGGAAGUACGUACGCAAGUAUGAAACUUAAAGGAAUUGGCGGGGGAGCACCACAAGGGGUGAAGCCUGCGGUUCAAUUGGAUUCAACGCCG